UACGGAGGGGGUUAGCGUUGUUCGGAAUUACUGGGCGUAAAGCGCACGUAGGCGGACUAUUAAGUCAGGGGUGAAAUCCCGGGGCUCAACCCCGGAACUGCCCUUGAUACUGGCAGUCUAGAGUUCGAGAGAGGUGAGCGGAAUUCCGAGUGUAGAGGUGAAAUUCGUAGAUAUUCGGAGGAACACCAGUGGCGAAGGCGGCUCACUGGCUCGAUACUGACGCUGAGGUGCGAAAGUGUGGGGAGCAAACAGG
rnacentral:rRNA from 1 species